rnacentral:lncRNA from 10 species
GAUCAGAGUCUCAAAAGGUGGCUAUCAAGUUGUCGGUCAGAGCUGGGUUCUUGUACGAGGUCUCCUUUCAACCUCAUGUGGUUGUCAGACAACACUCAAUUCCUUGUAGUCGCAGGAUUUGUGGACUUGCUUCUUCAAAGCCAGCCACAGAGAAAGAACAGCAGGGAAGAUUGAGAAAGUCAGUCUCGGGAAAAAGCACAAGGUUUAAGAAGGCCUGGAAGGGGAGACCUAGCAAGUUGCCAGUUGAGAAGAGUAAUGGUGUGACCUGGGUGACAGCCAGAUCAAGUUGUCUUAUCAGAGCAGCUGACAGAGAAAACAGCUGAACAGACUAAUCCAAAGCAAAGCCCUUACUGUUGCACUGCUAGCCAACCCAGGCAUACCCAAGUCAAUUAAUAAGCCUAAAGAUAAGGAGCAGGGUGAAAAUUUGGGCGCAAAUUGGAAGACAACUGGAGCAGGGCAGGAGGAAGAACAGAUUCCAUAGUGAUGGUUAUUCUGACCUGUGAUCUUUGUUGAACUGAACUGCUUUCUCUAGACACCAUUGUUACCAAAGGAAAUAACACGUUCUCAGUCUACCUUACUGCUUAUCGGUUGUGUGGGUCACAGGAAUUGGGGGUGAGGGACUGCUUUAAAGGAUCAGGAUCAGGGUGAACAAAAACUACUGAGGCUUCAGUGUCAGUUAUCCCAAAGCCCACAUCGAUUGUGUGAUUCUGUAAAUCCUAAACUAAAUAGGAGCAACCGUCUCUGAUAUUUAUUUUGUGCGACUGUCAACCUCAAAUGCCAUCCUGAAUUCUGUAUAUGACAGUCACCAGCCUGCCUGAUACCUCGUUGAUCGACUUUUCCCCAUGCUACCAAGCCAUGCCAGGUGGACAGAACAAUUCUCC